rnacentral:lncRNA from 1 species
CCUGAUCUACUUCAAACCAUAUAUUUACCAAAGGAGUCUGAGCAAAAGUUCAUUUAAAAUAAAGACCUGACUGUUGAGUCUCUGCUAAGACUUUGUAAUUCAGUUGCUGUACAAAUAUUUCAAAGCCAGCAAGAGGUUAACAGAGAAAACUGCAGGAAAGGGGGAAGUGAUGUGAUUAGGGGUCAGUUAUGUCCAUGACCUCCUGUGCCAGGUAUCAUAUGACUCUCAGUGGGGCACUACAAGGACACUCAAAAUCUAUGGGUAUCUGUUUUUGUCUCUGUCAUUAGUGAAUCAAACUGAAAACACUAAGGAAAACUUGAGAAGCAAAUUCAGACCCUAUCCAGCUUCCCCCCCCCCAAAGAUCUUUUCAUAUUUAUACUGCAUCCUCUGUCAAGCAAACCUCCCUGUCAGGUUAGAUGGCAUUGGCUGCCCAGGCUCAUUGUAGCAAACUGUUCUUCUUCCUUUCUCCUGGGAUAAAGUGUUCUUGGCAGCCCCGAUGGUUCAGAGGUGAAAGCAUGGUUUAUUGCAACAAAAAAGUAAAGGGUAGUACAUAAGAGGUGUGAAAUGCCAAGUCCACGUGCCAAGACGUCCUCCUAGGAAACAACAUCUUACUUUUGCCCUUCCCAUGCCUUACAGUUAUGAUGAAUUUUUCGGUAUGUAGCAAUAACCAAUAAUGUAUCAUUUACGUUACUGUGUUUAUUUUUUUUCUCACCAAGCUGUUGUUCGGAUGAUGAGGAAAGAAAAUGGGCUGGGAAUGACUUGCAUAUGAGACUAUCGCCUUGUACUAUCAGCUCACAAGCCAAAAUGUCUAGCAAGAUACUUUGAACUUAGCUCGGUGAUUUAUCCAAUGUCCUUUUCAUCUGUGGCCACAUGCCAACUUCCAGAAUGCAUUGGUGGGAUGUGUGUCCACACCUGCCCUUAUAUCUCUCCUUCUUGAUGCAAGUGUGACUGGGCUGGUUGAGCUCUUCUGGAAUGUGGGUAAAUAAACCAGUAAUUGUUGAGUUUGUUUUGGCAGCAGGGAUAGUACGUUAAGAAGGGAAAGUGGCAGUGUGUGUAACUAAUGCUGCAGUAUGGUCUAGAGGCUCCUGCUCAAAGGCAGGCAGUGCUUUUUAGGGCUCAGGGAGAUGGCUUGCUCACUGCCCAGGCAUAUUCAGUAGGCUGUGGAGGUUAAACAAAACUGAAAACCAAGAAACAACACUGAUAGGGCCACUUAAUGUUGUGUGUCAAGACUGCCAGGUAAGCAUGAAGUUGGGCUGUUGAGUGGAUGAGUGAUUUAUCCUUCCAACUCUAAGGAUUAUGUGAUUCUGUCUGUGCAGCGUCCAGCAGAAAGGCAAGAUGUAAGGACAUUUUGUUUCUGUGUUGGAGCUAAAAAGCAAUUUAGCCGUAAGUGUAACUUGACAAAUCAAAGGUGGUUGCCAGCUUGAAAUGUUCCCCAGGGAGCAGCUUGGGCAGCCAGAAGUCUUAUGGGCAGAAUACCUGAGUGUCCCUGGUUCUAGACUAGUGCACUCAGACCCACAGAUUCUAA